GACAGAGGGUGCAAACGUUGUUCGGAAUUACUGGGCGUAAAGCGCGUGUAGGCGGCUAAGUAAGUCGGUCGUGAAAUCCCUCGGCUCAACCGAGGAACGUCGAUCGAUACUGCUGUUCUUGAGGAUUGCAGAGGAGACUGGAAUUCCCGGUGUAGCGGUGAAAUGUGUAGAGAUCGGGAGGAACACCGGUGGCGAAGGCGGCGUUCUGGACUGCAACUGACACUGAGGAACGAAAGCCAGGGGAGCAAACGGG
rnacentral:rRNA from 1 species